GAUUAAGAAUUAAAAAUGGUUUAAUUUAAGCUAAUUUUCAUUAAAAUCGGUUAAUAAUUAACCGAGUUAUGGCCGUUUUUGUCCAGGAUGCCAGUAAACUUCCUUAUUCACUCCAGAAUAUAUUAAACGUGCGUUAACUCAAAAAUCGCCUAAUUACCUUUUAGAUUAAGAAUUUAAAAAUGCUUCUUCUAACCUAACUUUCAUUAAAAUCAACUAAUAAUCAACCCAGCUGCGUCCGCUUUUGUAGCUCCCAAACAGUGCAACCGGGAAAAGUGAAACAUCCCAAUUUAUCCCGAAAAAAAUCCUAACUAAAUCGGUCAAACGUCCAGAUAUAAACGAUUUAUAUUCCUCGGACGUGUGGAAGAGAGACACUGUGCAAUGCCAUUAAUUUUUUUUCUUCCUUUGUCGUCACGUGUGAUUUGAACCCUAAGGACAUCCAGGAAAGGAAACUUUGCCCCUCUCUCUCUCUCUUUUUGGUGAUUAAGUAUUUAUAUAGCGUGUCAUCCCUUAGGACCCCGGGGGAUGAUGGAUGGGCCUAAAAGGGUGGCCAACGCCGAUUUACUACUGAGGGAUUUAGUCAAAGAUCCUCCCGUUUUUUUUUUUGGAAUUGGGGACUACCUCGACUUACCUUCUCACCACUGUCCGAGGGUAAGUAGAAGGUAAGCACGGUUAGAAAAGAGAUGCCCAUGCACGGAAUGAUGAUGUUGACGGUGUAAAAGAGGGUUUUCCUUCGCAUGGUUAUGUUGAACGUGAUGUCCAGGUACUUCCAAAAUAUCCCAUUCGACUGACAUGUAAAACUCCGAUAGGUCCACCCCGACGUCCACGAUGUUGCUGCCCGCUUUUUCGUCCAUGUGACGCAGAUCGACCUAAAAUUUAAAUUAUUUAUUUAUUUUAUAUAUAAAUCUAUUGCGAGUUGUCUAAAUUUAUCAUAUAGCAGUCACAAUAUAAAUUUAUUUAUAUAUAUAAUUAUGUA